rnacentral:rRNA from 1 species
UACGAAGGGUGCAAGCGUUAAUCGGAAUUACUGGGCGUAAAGGGUGCGUAGGCGGUUCGUUAAGUCUGUUGUGAAAUCCCCGGGCUCAACCUGGGAAUGGCAAUGGAUACUGGCGGGCUAGAGUGUGUCAGAGGAUGGUGGAAUUCCCGGUGUAGCGGUGAAAUGCGUAGAGAUCGGGAGGAACAUCAGUGGCGAAGGCGGCCUGCUGGGCUGUUGCUGACGCUGAGGCGCGACAGCGUGGGGAGCAAACAGG